ACCAAUGACGGAUCUACACAGCGGGAGGGAAGUUGAGUCUAAAGAGGACUUGCACUCUGAAGAGGAGUAUAUGUAGGAGGCACAUUCUGUGGAGAGCAGCCUAACGGCAGCAGUAACCCACUCUGAGAGAAGCAUGUACAGUGCCGGAUAUAUGGUUCAAGCACGCAUAACUGAGGUGGAACAUACUUUUGUCCUGCUGGAGGGUAGCAUGGACAGGAUGAGGCUGCUCUUUGAGGAGUGCAUAGAGGUGGGCCGUCUGGAAAGUCGGAGGAAUGAAUUGGUAUGGGAGCUAUUGCACCUGGAGUAGCCUAUGCUGCAGGCUACGAGAGGUCAGUUGUUAGAGGCACAUAGAGUCCUUACCAGCAUCCAGUUGGAGUAUAUUAAUCUGCAGAUAGAGGUGGGACAGUUGAAGAGUAAGCCAUUUGUCACAGCCAGACUGUAUUCAGAGCCAGCUAACAGACUGCACAACAAUAUGAUGGCCCAGUAGUCACACAGGAGGAGCUCCAGGCCCAUGUCUUGUCUCAGAGGUAGUCCAGCUUCUGGAGACCCGGCACAACCAGCUGAACACCGUCACAGGGCCGUGAAUGACUUCACUCACUGCCAACAAGCCUCACUGUGCCUUCAGCGGUAGCAUGAUGAAUCUAGAAGGCUGGUAUGAACCGUGGCUGCUAGCCCUGCUCCGGAGGCAGGGAAGGAUACCAAGCCAGUAAAGGCAUGGUGUAACUGUGCUAAUUUCUCAUCAGGAGACUGGACUCAGUUGAGGAGACCAUGAGGAAGCUGAAGCUUCUUUUUUUUUGUUGAAAAAGGCAAAACAAACAAUUGGAAGAAUUGAAUGGACUUUUGAGGGGAAGGAUGUGGUAUGCUACUGGCCAUGAAAUGCAGAGAACUAGCAGAUGAUCCUUUUGACCCUGAGGAAUGAAGGUUUAGCAAAUUAAUAUUUUAAUCCUGUACUACUUACAAUUGCCUGACAUGUACAAUUAACAUUCCUGGGAGUCUCAAUGUGAUUUUAUUACAUGGGCUGUAUUGAAGCAAGCAAGACAUUUGCUGAAGGGGAAUCAUUACUUUUCCAUGGAAGUACAGGAUAGUUGACAAAACACAUGGAAUAUCCACAACCCCUCCAGACCGAACAUGUAUUGUUUGCAAGUGUCCUUGAUUGUGCAUUUAGCCAAUAAUGUCAGUGAUUGCUUUACUUAAACUGCUCUUAAUACAUUAACAAUGACAUUAUGAUAGUUGGCCUUGGCUGUGAGAUCAGCAUGUCUUAACUGUAAACUGCACUGCAUGGAAGGUCUACUGUAAAAACAAUGUUUAUUAUGAAUACACAUACACAGCAAAAAGAAAUCCGAUGCAGAUGUGGCAUACAAAGCAGGGAUACUAGUCAUACAAAGGUGAUUGGGGAAAUCUACAAUACAGCUGUCAAGGGAAUGAAAAUCUAUGUAAUUUCUUAUGAAAUUAAACUGUAUAAAUGUUACUAACACAAUGAGCAUAAUUUAAGAUGUUUCCCCGCUACAUUUAUUGGU